AUACGGAGGGUGCAAGCGUUGUCCGGAUUUAUUGGGUUUAAAGGGUGUGUAGGCGGUGCAUUAAGUCAGUGGUGAAAGCCUGCGGCUCAACCGUAGAACUGCCAUUGAUACUGACACACUUGAGUAUGGACGAGGUAGGCGGAAUUUAUGGUGUAGCGGUGAAAUGCAUAGAUACCAUAAAGAACACCGAUAGCGAAGGCAGCUUACUAGGCCAUAACUGACGCUGAGGCACGAAAGCGUGGGGAGCGAACAGGAUUAGAAACCCCAGUAGUCC
rnacentral:rRNA from 1 species